GGUGCUGUGGCUGAGUGAUAAAGCAUUUGGCUUUUGAACCAAGAGUUCUGGGUUCAAAUCCUGGUUAAGACUA
rnacentral:tRNA from 1 species